GACGAACGCUGGCGGCGUGCCUAACACAUGCAAGUCGAGCGGGGAUUUAAGUGGAAGUUCUUCGGAAUGGAGAUUUAAAUUCUAGCGGCGGACGGGUGAGUAACGCGUGAACAAUCUGUCCCGGACAGGGGGAUAACACUUGGAAACAGGUGCUAAUACCGCAUAAGACCACGGCCUCGCAUGGGGCUGAGGUCAAAGGAGCAAUCCGGUUCGGGGUGAGUUCGCGUCCGAUUAGCUAGUUGGUGAGGUAACGGCCCACCAAGGCGACGAUCGGUAGCCGGCCUGAGAGGGUGAACGGCCACAUUGGAACUGAGAGACGGUCCAAACUACUACGGGAGGCAGCAGUGGGGAAUAUUGGGCAAUGGGCGAAAGCCUGACCCAGCAACGCCGCGUGAGGGAAGAAGGUUUUCGGAUUGUAAACCUCUGUCCUAUGGGACGAAGGAAGUGACGGUACCAUAGGAGGAAGCCCCGGCUAACUACGUG
rnacentral:rRNA from 1 species